AAUGAUCUGGAGCAGAUGUAGGAAGAUGCAAGGGAAUAAUAUAAGCAGGAAAAAUAUUUGCAAUAAUCAAGACAAGGGAUUGUGAAAGCAUGAACUAAUGUCUUGGUAGACACAGGUGCAUUUUGGAUAUGUAAUGAAAGUCACUGUAGCAUUCAGGAAGGACCUGGAUGUGAGGGGAGGAAACAGAAGUCUCAAAGAUGGGAAGAUUGCAAUCUAGUGGAGCUGGGAAACAUGUUGAUGACAAUGGAGAAAGAAGAUACAUUGAUUAGUAGGAAACAUUAGGUUCCAGUUACUGUUGUGUCCUACGGCAUUUUAUUCUGUGAGCCCCUGCCCUCCAAAAUACACCUUACAGACCUGGCCCCUGAAUAUCUCCAUUAUGUAGAAGGAAGAGCUACUGUGGUGGCUUUUACACCAUCUCCAGUCCUGACUGCUGGCAUAGGUGCUGGAACAAAAGGGCAUGACUCAGGCGCUGGAUGUGAUUUUAGAUAAUGACAUGAAAACCCAAACCUUGUGGAGCCUGCUGCCUGCCUUCUCUUUCCCCAACCUCAGCUGAGUAUGAGAAGCAAGACUCCUUGGGGGAUGAGAACAAGGAGGCCAGUGAAGAGAUCUCCACAGAAAGCCAGGAGCUCUUUUGGGUCUCGGCACCAUGAUGCCAACCAGGCAGAAGGUGAGCCUCAUUGCUACCCGGACUGGGAAUGAGACUGAUCCUACAGAGGGAACCUUGACAUCUAAGGAAGAGUGCUGUGGCUUAUUUCUUGGAAGACAGGCUCUGAAGAGGCCAUCUAUCACCUGUGGAGAAUAGCAGCCAUAAAAGCAAGAACCUCAGAGAUUCUAUAGCAUCUGCUUGCUAUGCAGGAUCAGACUUGCUGAGUUGGAACCUAAUAUUUUACCUACAGCCAAGAAAACUCCAUCUAGCAGUUUGGGAGUUGAGAUAGAAAUAUUAAACAAGAAGUGAUACUCCAGUAAGUUAUUGAAAUGUCUUCAUAUUUUUCAUUUAUGUCUGUCCCUGUCAUGGAAGCUGCUGUUGAAAUCUUUCGACAUUAACACUCUGCCAUUUAAAACUUAUCCUGCCAGCAUGCCAUCUGUUAUGAUCAGGGAACCACUUUCUACGUGAGUUGACUCCUACGCACAAUGCAUUUGCUGAACAGUUAUAAUUCACCUCUCACUUAAAAAGCACUACUUCUCAACUCAGACAAAACCAAGUCUAGGCUGCUGAUCCUCAUUCCCUCCCUCUUCUCCCUGGACCCAGCACAUCCAAUGCUUCUCAGAUCCACGGGACAAUUACAGUAUUUAAAGCUCAUUGGAAUUGAUCAAUGCUGUGUUCUAAGAUCAGUGUUGGUCAAAGGUUAGUUUUCCAUCUUCAUGAAUACUGCAGCAGCGGGGAGAGAAUGUGGACCCAGGAUUUCAUGCUUGUGUCAGCUGGGAGGGAUGAUUAGAUACAAUUCAAUUCAGGUA